rnacentral:rRNA from 1 species
AAUUAUAAAGAGUCGAACCUGCCCAAUGAUAUAUAUUUAAUGGCCGCGGUACUCUGACCGUGCAAAGGUAGCAUAAUCAUUUGCCUUAUAAUUGAAGGCUUGUAUGAAUGGUUUGACGAAAACAAAGCUGUCUCUUUUUAACUUUAUAAAACUUGAUUUUUAGGUGAAGAAGCCUAAAUAAAAUUGAAAGACAAGAAGACCCUAUCGAGCUUUAAAAAUUUUUAUUAACACAAAAUGACUAACAUAGACCAAAUAUAAUAAAAAAUUUUAGUUGGGGCGACUAAGGAACAAAAAAGCUUCCGUUUUAGUAUCUUAAAGCAGAUUAGCCAUGAUCCAAAAGUUUUGAUUAAAAGAAUUAGUUACCGUAGGGAUAACAGCAUAAUCUUUUUUGAGAGUUCUUAUCGAAAAAAAGGUUUGUGACCUCGAUGUUGGACUAGAAUAUCCUAACGAUGCAGAAGUCUUUAAGGGUUGGUCUGUUCGACC